UACGGAGGGUGCAAGCGUUAAUCGGAAUUACUGGGCGUAAAGCGCGCGUAGGCGGUUCGGUAAGUCGGGUGUGAAAGCCCCGGGCUCAACCUGGGAAUUGCAUCCGAUACUGUCGGACUAGAGUCUGGUAGAGGGAAGGGGAAUUCCGGGUGUAGCGGUGAAAUGCGUAGAUAUCCGGAGGAACACCAGUGGCGAAGGCGCCUUCCUGGAUCAAGACUGACGCUGAGGUGCGAAAGCGUGGGGAGCAAACAGG
rnacentral:misc_RNA from 1 species